AGAGUUUGAUCAUGGCUCAGAUUGAACGCUGGCGGCAUGCCUUACACAUGCAAGUCGAACGGUAACAGGUUAAGCUGACGAGUGGCGAACGGGUGAGUAAAGUAUCGGAACGUGCCCAGUCGUGGGGGAUAACUACUUGAAAGAGUGGCUAAUACCGCAUACGACCUGAGGGUGAAAGCGGGGGACCGUAAGGCCUCGCGCGAUUGGAGCGGCCGAUAUCAGAUUAGCUAGUUGGCGGGGUAAAAGCCCACCAAGGCGACGAUCUGUAGCUGGUCUGAGAGGACGACCAGCCACACUGGGACUGAGACACGGCCCAGACUCCUACGGGAGGCAGCAGAGGGGAAUUUUGGACAAUGGACGCAAGUCUGAUCCAGCCAUGCCGCGUGCGGGAAGAAGGCCUUCGGGUUGUAAACCGCUUUUGUCAGGGAAGAAACGCUCCUAUCUAAUACAUGGGGGUAAUGACGGUACCUGAAGAAUAAGCACCGGCUAACUACGUGCCAGCAGCCGCGGUAAUACGUAGGGUGCAAGCGUUAAUCGGAAUUACUGGGCGUAAAGCGUGCGCAGGCGGCUUUGCAAGACAGAUGUGAAAUCCCCGGGCUCAACCUGGGAACUGCAUUUGUGACUGCAUCGCUGGAGUACGGCAGAGGGGGAUGGAAUUCCGCGUGUAGCAGUGAAAUGCGUAGAUAUGCGGAGGAACACCGAUGGCGAAGGCAAUCCCCUGGGCCUGUACUGACGCUCAUGCACGAAAG
rnacentral:rRNA from 1 species